AGGACGAACGCUGGCGGCGUGCUUUACACAUGCAAGUCGAGCGGUAAGGCCCUUCGGGGUACACGAGCGGCGAACGGGUGAGUAACACGUGGGUGACCUGCCCCUCACUCUGGGAUAAGCCCGGGAAACUGGGUCUAAUACCGGAUAUGACCACAUGUCGCAUGGUGUGUGGUGGAAAGCGUUUAGUGGUGGGGGAUGGACCCGCGGCCUAUCAGCUUGUUGGUGGGGUAAUGGCCUACCAAGGCGACGACGGGUAGCCGGCCUGAGAGGGCGAUCGGCCACACUGGGACUGAGACACGGCCCAGACUCCUACGGGAGGCAGCAGUGGGGAAUAUUGCACAAUGGGCGGAAGCCUGAUGCAGCGACGCCGCGUGAGGGAUGACGGCCUUCGGGUUGUAACCUCUUUCAGUACCGACGAAGCGAGAGUGACGGUAGGUACAGAAGAAGCACCGGCCAACUACGCGCCAGCAGCCGC
rnacentral:rRNA from 1 species